UACGAAGGGGGCUAGCGUUGCUCGGAAUUACUGGGCGUAAAGGGCGCGUAGGCGGCACUGUUAGUCAGGCGUGAAAGUCCUGGGCUCAACCUGGGAACUGCGCUUGAUACGGCAGAGCUAGAGGAUGGAAGAGGCUCGCGGAAUUCCCAGUGUAGAGGUGAAAUUCGUAGAUAUUGGGAAGAACACCGGUGGCGAAGGCGGCGACCUGGUCCAUUACUGACGCUGAGGCGCGACAGCGUGGGGAGCAAACAGGAU
rnacentral:rRNA from 1 species